AUUUUGCGUUAGGGAUUAUAGUGGAAAUCCUUUUUGUGAGGAACGAACAAAAAGAUUGGAACGCAAAGUCCGACUGUAG
rnacentral:sRNA from 1 species